rnacentral:ncRNA from 1 species
UCCAUCGCGAGGUGGAAUCUGAAGGAAGCCGAAGGCAAAGCGCUGGCCUGACGAACAGGAAUCGCAUAGGAGGCAUACAAGCCGGACAAGGAGGCAUUUAUCAAUCCCGAUGGUGACUUUACCCAUCUUCCGAUUGGGGCCCUUUGCUCCGGAUUUUUUG